CUGCCACUUCACCGCCUCCCCCACCAUUCCUCCUGUAAGUUUUGAUGUUUGUUCAUCCUUGUUUUCCUUUCCACAUUCUUCUCAUACUGUAUUCACAGCAAAUGUGAGGCUAGCUGGGUCUUGAUUAAACUCUUGCAGGCUUAGAGAAAGCUCUUUUAAACCCUGAAUGGUAUCAUUUAUCUUAGACUUCUAGCUCUGGAAGAAAUCAAUCAUUCGAGCUCUGCUCAGGAAAAUGAUGUGGAAUGUAAAGUGUUCUGCCCUUGUAACCAGCACGGUGGAGCCGCAGGACAUGUUGGAAAUGACACAAUGAACCACUGUGUGCUCUUAUUUGCAGAGUACCCGGACAUAAUCAUGUGGGAAGGAGUGCAGAAGCUUUGCAUUUCCUGGAAACAUUCUCAUCCGAGGGCAGCUGUCAGUUCUUUAGCAAAAGAGGUGGCUGAAGGACAGAGGGAGAAACCUAUGAGGAACAAAAGCAUCCAAGGAGCAGCCAGCAUGAUGGACUACGGUAAUUAGGAAGCUCUAAGACCUGUCUAACAUUUUAGGAGAACAAACUGAACUCUGGGCAGUGCCAGGCACAGGGUGUGUGAACCAGGCAUGAAGCCAUCCACGCCCAACAUUCCACAGCCACCCCUCCAGCCUCUGCCCAGCAAGCUGCACAACAGCCCCAGCACCAACUGGUAAACCAGAAGGUUUGAGAAGGGUCUGUCAAUGAAGUGCCGUGCAAACGGAUGGAUACAAAUUCUCUUCACUUGUGCUCUUUUAAGCACAUGUGCAUUGCAGGUCUCUUUUGACAUCUCAGGAUAACGGAUAUACUGUAAAUAAGCACUAAUUUUAAGUCUUGAUUACUUUAUGUUCUUGAGCUACAAACUUGUUGAUGGUGUUUUCAGAGCUAUUCAAGAACUCCCUUUUCUUCCUUCUCCAUCCUCACGCAGCACAAUUCUCCAUUUUCUUUUUGAGUCACUCCCUCUUGCUCCUUUCUUCGAUUAUUUUAUUCUCCAAGACUUUGGCAAAAGUUAUCAUUCCUGAGAGAGCACCCAUGGUGCAGGAACUAUUUGAUUGCAUUAGAGAGAUGGGCUGAGAUUAAUGUAAACCACAGAGAGUGGAUUAGGAGAACAAUGAAAAAACUCUAAUGAGGUUUGCACAGCCUAGUUCACUUGAGGAGCAAAUUUCUUGACACUUCCCCUUGGAGUUCAAGAUGACACUUUAAUCUCACUAUUAAAAACAUGACCUAAGGAUCGACCAGGGUGGAGCAUGGGAAACAAUGUCCUUUUAAUUGUCUACUCUGGAGUAACAAUCUACUUAUGAUAUAACAGCCCUUGCCGUCUGGCUCCAGGCGAGUCAUACUCCCUUUGAGAGGGUUCUGAGAAAUGUUACUUUCAGUAGGUGGUACAUGACCAAAUUCCAGCUCUUAUCUUGGUUUCAGCAUGUGUGCAGUGAGAGGGACAGGCUUUUCUCAGAUCUCACCAGCCAAAUUACUUCUCAGGGCAUACCCAGGGCUUUCUCAGGGUUGCGUCAGUCUUCCCGCAGAAUGUUAAUAGUGCCCCUUCUAACAGUGUAGAUAGAGUUUGAGGCUGCUUGUGAUCUCCCAGAAAACUCACAGUGUUCCUCAUUUAUCUGUUCUGCAUUUUCUUUACCCAGAUUGUUCUAUCUCACUCUGCGGAGGAAUCACUUUCAGUUUCAUCAGCUGUCUGAUUGCUCUGUAUAGGCUCUGUUUCUGCCAUCUGAAAGAACCCAGAGCACAACAUCACUAGGUAGGAUGUGCUUCAGUGCUCAGCCAGGCCCAGGGGGCCUCUCAGCAGGACGUGCCUGGGACACAGGUAACAAAUGGAUGUUCUCUGUCCUCUGGAGGAAACGUGUCUACACCAGAGGCCACGCUUUCAAGCUGUUGGAGACACACAGCUGUCAAUUUCUCCCUCAACAACCACCACAAACACAAUUAUGGCUGACUGAACUUAGGAUUUUUAAAAUCCCUAUUGUUAGUAAAACUAAAGAUUGAUGUGAAUGGGGGUUGGCAUUACCUUCUACAUGCCAAAGACAAAGGAUUAUCACGCAUGAUUGACUCUUUUGUGACUUCCUGAAAAAAAAAAAAAACUUUCUUACACUUAGCAAAUGUCAAGACUAGGAAAGUUAGUCUCAGGUUUGUCACUAAUGAAAUGGCCUCAGCUCAGUGCCCUUGCUGAGUUUUUGAAGCUUUGUUCCUCGAGUCAAGUAAAUGAUGCACCAGGAAGGUGUAGAUGCGUGUGAUGUGCAUCAGGGCAGAGCGGUGGUUGGAUGCACGUGAAUGACAGGCUAAGCACAGCUGCAUGGGUUUCCAGCCGCUUGGGCUGCCUAUAGAUCAUACUUCGUGUAGGUUUCAUUGUGUUGGGUUUUCAAAAGCGCUCUGAAGCAAUGGACCCGUCCAGAGCCACGGCACCACAGCCAGCGGUGGUUCUGUCACAUGCCCUAAACAUUUUGC
ensembl:lncRNA